CCUUCGGUAGCUCAGUUGGUAGAGCGGAGGACUGUAGAUCCUUAGGUCGCUGGUUCAACUCCGGCUCGAAGGA